AGCUUUGCACAGUGGCAGUGUCGUAGCCAAUGAGGUUUAUCUGAGGCACGAUUGUUGCUAAUUGAAAAUUCCCCCCCCCAAAUUUUUAAAUUUAUUUUGAGAGA
rnacentral:snRNA from 1 species